AGUUAACGUUGGCGGCGUGCCUAACACAUGCAAGUCGAACGCGUCCUAAGGGCAACUUUAGGAUGAGUGGCGAACGGGUGAGUAUCACGUGGGUAAUCUUCCUUUAAGUGGGGAAUAAGCUCUCGAAAGGGAGUCUAAUACCGCAUGACAUUCCGGGACACAAGUCCCGUAAUCAAAGCCGCAAGGCGCUUGAAGAUGAGCCUGCGUCCUAUUAGCUAGUUGGUGGGGUAACGGCCUACCAAGGCUCAGAUGGGUAGCCGGCCUGAGAGGGUGAACGGCCACACUGGGACUGAGACACGGCCCAGACUCCUACGGGAGGCAGCAGUGAGGAAUUUUGCGCAAUGGGGGAAACCCUGACGCAGCGACGCCGCGUGGAGGAUGAAGGCCUUCGGGUCGUAAACUCCUGUCAGAGGUGAAGAAUGCCCGCAAGGGUUUGACGGUAACCUCAGAGGAAGCCCCGGCUAACUACGUG
rnacentral:rRNA from 1 species